CAGACAUGGCAGCACAGAGAGAAGACCCAGAGGAGCAGGAGGACCAGGUGUGAAGAUGCAGUGAAACCAGAGGGAGACUCACCUGGACGGAGACAGGAACCAGUGGACACAUUUCCCUUCAGUACCAUAAGUUAUUGUCUGAGGUCUUUACAAAGUUAAAACUAUAGUUUUUAUUUCAUUCUCUUUGCUCUUGAAUCACUGUUUUUAUUUUAAAUGUUCUUCGGUAGAGAACUUUGAAUUUCAUUCUUGCUUCAAUGUGUUUUA